rnacentral:rRNA from 1 species
CCUACGGGAGGCUGCAGUGGGGAAUCUUGCACAAUGGGGGAAACCCUGAUGCAGCGACGCCGCGUGAGCGAUGAAGUACUUCGGUACGUAAAGCUCUAUCAGCAGGGAAGAAAAUGACGGUACCUGACUAAGCACCCCCGGCUAAAUACGGGCCAGCAGCCGCGGUCAUACGUAGGGGGCAAGCGUUAUCCGGUUUUACUGGGUGUAAAGGGAGCGUAGACGGCGGUGCAAGCCAGAUGUGAAAGCCCGGGGCUCAACCCCGGGACUGCAUUUGGAACUGUGCUGCUAGAGUGUCGGAGAGGCAGGCGGAAUUCCUAGUGUAGCGGUGAAAUGCGUAGAGAUUAGGAGGAACACCAGUGGCGAAGGCGGCCUGCUGGACGAUGACUGACGUUGAGGCUCGAAAGCGUGGGGAGCAAACAGGAUUAGAUACCCGAGUAGUC